UUUUUGUUUUUGUUUUUGUUUUUUUACCUAAUUCCUUGAGAUGUUUUUCAAAAUGUUUUCAAGUCUUAAGUUUAAUUUCAGCUUUUGUAUUUUUAACCUCCAAGAGCUCAUUCUGGUUUCCUGAAUGUUUCUUCCCACAGUGGUCCAUUGUUGUAUCAUGAAUGCAAUAUAUUGUCUUACUUCCCAAAAUAAAUUAGAGAUUUUUUUAAUGUGCUUUUUCCCCCUGUUUGCUCCAAUUAUUUUUUUUUUGUUUCUGUUUUAGUCUCCCUCUUUCAUAUUAGAGGUCUUCCAGUAAUACCUGAUCAUCUACUCUAUUUAAAAGUAAACCAUCCAAGGCUGACUGGAAGUUCCAGGAGUAUAAAAAGGAGUUACAAGUGGUAGGCUUUACUGCAGUGUGACAUGGAGAAGGGCUGACCUUUGUCAUAGGAGGCCUUUCCAAUUGGUCUGGCCCCUAGACAUUUCUCGUUCCUCAGAAAGGACUCCUUUGCUCUCCUCUCUGGCAAACAAUAUGGCAAGUUGUGAACACUUUGGAGAAGAUAAGUGAACUGAGUUCUCACUGUUCAGUAUGCAAACUUUCACUUGAAAUCUCAUUUUCAUUAUUGUAUACAACCACUUCCUCUAUGGUGCUUGAUUGUCCUCAAAUCCAGAUCUUUUCUGGCUCAAUUUUGUCACAUAUGAUAUAUUUCUGCUUACCUAUUCUUCAUUCCAUCCCACACCCUCACCUUCUGAGAUACCUGGCACAUCCAAUUCCUAAAUUCCUGAAUCUGGCAGUACAAAACAACCCACUUUUUGUUGAUUCCUAUUCUUACAAGCUUCUAUUAUUUUAAUGCUAUGCCAGUCAGUUACCAUUUGUUUAUUCUCUUUUGAGCUUUCACAGUGUAGUUGACAUUUCUUCACCAAUGUCAUCUCCUCUAUCAUUCUUUUUGUCCUUUGGAUUUUAAACUUUUUUGAUGUCUUACCUGCCUUUUGUUGGUUUUCAGAUAACCUAUCUAAUCUAAAGUAUAUUUUCUGCUAUUUUCACGUAAUAUUAUAUCAAAAGCAUCCUCUCCUACACUAAAUAUUGAAAAUAGUAUUUUUAAUGGAUGUGUCCUGGUACGUCUGACCAUUAACCUAUAAUUGGAAAUUCAUGAUGAGUCAAACUUUUUUUUACAAACAACAUCAAAAUAAAAAUCUUUUUACAAGAAGUUUUAUAUUUAUCUCCAAUGACUUCCUUAAGAUCUAGUUCUAAAAUCAUAUUAAAUCAAGUUUUUUAAAUUUUUAAGUAUUAAAAUAUAUUAUCUAGUUAAUUUCAAGAAAGUUGGUAAUAAUUUAUACCUUCUCCCAAAAAAGGCAGAGGCAAGAGCCGCAUAGGAUUUUUCCCAUCAUCAUCAACAUCAUAACCCCUUGUGUUUCGUUAUUGCUUUAAUUUGGAUUUUUAUGCUGACAAAACUAGUUUUUUUCAUGUAUUUAUUGAUAAUAUAUAUCUCCUAUUAUGGACCAAAUUCAUUUUUUUCUAGUGGAAUAUUUAUUUCUUAUUUAUAUGAAAUCUCAAUAUCUUAAGAUAUUAAGCUUCUUAGACCAGAUUUAUUGAAAAUUUUUUACUUUAUUACUUGUUGGGUUUUUAUUAAACUUGUGACAGAAUUUUUAAAUUUUUACAUAAUCAAAAUUACCACAUUUUCCCUUUAUGCUUAGAAAGUUUUCUUGGGACGCCUGGGUGGCUUAGAGGUUGAGAGUCUGCCUUUGGCCCAAGGCAUGAUCCUAGAGUCCCAGGAUCAAGUCUUACAUCAGGCUCCCUGCAUGAAGCCUGCUUCUCUCUCUGCCUGCGUCUCUGCCUCUCUCUCUGUGUCUCUCAUGAAUAAAUAAAAUCUAAAAAAAGAAAAAAAAGUUUUCGCAUUCCAAGAUCAGACAAUAUUAUUUUAUUUUAUUCUUUCAUUUAUAUGUUUUGGAUUUUUUACAUUUUACUUUUUCUCUCUGGAAUUUAAUUUGUAGCAUUUUCUCCCAGUCAGGUGACUCACUACCAUUUACUGCAUAAUUCGUAUAUGCAGCAUCAUCUCAACUAAUUGGUAAUGUAACACUGACCACAUUCACAUCCUAAGCUCUUACUUUUACUAGUGCCUGUUUCUGGUUUAUUUUAACCCCAUUUGUCUGUUGGUUCUUCCUUCAGAACAUCCUGUUCUAAUUACCAUAACCACAUAGUACCUUACAAUAUCUUCUAGAGAAAAGCCUGCUUUACUACC
rnacentral:lncRNA from 1 species